rnacentral:tRNA from 5 species
GCGCCAGUAGCUCAUCUGGAUAGAGCAACUGCCUUCUAAGCAGUAGGUAGGGGGUUCGAGUCCCUCCUGGCGUACCA